AAGCUCGUAGUUGGAUUUCGGGAUGGGCCAGUCGGUCUGCCGCAAGGUAUGUUACUGGCUGGUCUGUCCUUCUUCGCAAAGACUGCGUGUGCUCUUAAUUGAGUGUGCGUAGGAUUUGCGACGUUUACUUUGAAAAAAUUAGAGUGUUCAAAGCAGGCUGUCCGCUUGAAUACAUGAGCAUGGAAUAAUGGAAUAGGACUUUGGUUCUAUUUUGUUGGUUUCUGGAACCGAAGUAAUGAUUAAGAGGGACAGUUGGGGGCAUUCGUAUUUCGUUGUCAGAGGUGAAAUUCUUGGAUUUACGAAAGACGAACAACUGCGAAAGCAUUUGCCAAGAAUGUUUUCAUUAAUCAAGAACGAAAGUUAGAGGCUCGAAGACGAUCAGAUACCGUCCUAGUUCUAACCAUAAACGAUGCCGACUAGGGAUCAGCGGGCGUUAUUUUAUGACCCCGUUGGCACCUUAUGGGAAACCAAAGUUUUUGGGUUCCGGGGGAAGUAUGGUUGCAAAGCUGAAACUUAAAGGAAUUGACGGAAG
rnacentral:rRNA from 1 species